GGGUAACGCCCGGCGGGGGCGACCCCAGGGAAAGUGCCGCAGAAAGCAAACCGCCUUGGUCAUUCGGCUCCGGCCGAUCGGCCCGGGUAAGGGUGAAAGGGUGCGGUAAGAGCGCACCGCGCCUCUGGCAACAGGGGCGGCAGGGCAAACCCCACCGGGAGCAAGACCAAGUAGGGACGGCGCGCGGCUUCGGCCGCAGGCGGGUCUUCGCGCCGCUGUCCGGGUAGGUCGCGCGAGGCGUCCGGCGACGGGCGUCCCAGAUGAAUGGUCAUCGCCCAGAAAUGGGAACAGAACCCGGCUUACAGGCCGUCUGGCUUU
rnacentral:RNase_P_RNA from 1 species